rnacentral:rRNA from 1 species
AUUGAACGCUGGCGGCAGGCUUAACACAUGCAAGUCGAACGAGUGGCGGACGGGUGAGUAAUGUCUGGGAAACUGCCUGAUGGAGGGGGAUAACUACUGGAAACGGUAGCUAAUACCGCAUACCAUCAGAGGUGCCCAUAUGGGAUUAGCUAGUUGGUGGGGUAACGGCUCACCAAGGCAACGAUCCCUAGCUGGUCUGAGAGGAUGACCAGCCACACUGGAACUGAGACACGGUCCAGACUCCUACGGGAGGCAGCAGUGGGGAAUAUUGGACAAUGGGGGCAAGCCGGAUCCAGCCAUGCCGCGUGGAUGAGGAAGGCCUUCGGGUUGUAAAGUACUUUCGGCGGGGAGGCGUUACCCGCAGAAGAAGCACCGGCUAACUACGUGCCAGCAGCCGCGGUAAUAC